CUAAAAUUUGUAGAUAAAUAGAUUCUUAAACUCAAUGCUUAUAAAUAUCGUCCAGAAACUAAUAGGAGAAUGUUUUAUAGCUAGAUUCCUACUGAGUUUCUUCUCCAACUCCUUAACAUGGCAGGCAGGGAAUUUUUAGAAAGCUUUCCUCAGCCUAUAGGGGACAUGGAUAGCAACAACUUUCUAUGUCAAUUUGCCCGCAGCAGUAGUCCAACAAAGCUAAUCACCACUAGGAGACAGAAGAUUUCCUAUUUCAGGCUUUCUCUUUCUGUGGGGAAUGUGAAGUACUUGACUAGACUUCAUUUUCGACAAAUCUAGCAAGAUGAUCCUGUGUUUCUGCUGCUGCUUCACUCUUGGCUUAUGUUUGGUCGUAGCUAUUGAUUUUUGGAAGAUACUAAAAGAAGAAGUUGGCUAAGAUGAAGGAGUAACGUGCAGUUGAUGAUGAAAGAGUAACAUGUAAUAUGGAUACUACAUAUUACUAGACAAGUCGCACCUAAAUAGAGUGGGCUUAGAUGAAAACUUGGUAUAAGGUGGAAGAAGAUGGCUGGGAGGAUGGUUCUAAUGAUGGUAAGAUUUCUGCCUUUGAAAAUUUUGAUUGGAAAGCUUUACCUCUAGAUGAUUAUUUUAACAUUAUGCAGGCUGCAUUAAAAUAUGAUGCUUUUGUAGAUGCUUGUGCAGGAGAGACAUAAUCAUCUUUGGAUAAUAUUGCUAAAAUUGUUCUGAUACUUUUGUUGGGUAUUGCUGCAAUACUACUGCAAAAAAGAAGGAUUACACCAACAAAUAUUUACGGAGUGAGACUUCUACCAGAAAAGCGUUUUCUUUUGUCUUUCUCAUGGAAGUAGGCACAAGAAUGUAAUGUUGCAAAAAUAUAUUUCAUAUCUUGUAUAACUUCGUUCCUCAAAUGUAUGUACAUAGUAGCAUUAUUAUAUUAAUAUCUAAUUAGCUUAGUAGUGUUCUUCCUUU